rnacentral:rRNA from 1 species
GAAGUUGACCGCCUGGGGAGUACGGCCGCAAAGGCUAAAACUCAAAGGAAUUGACGGGGACCCGCACAAGCGGUGGAUGAUGUGGAUUAAUUCGAUGCAACGCGAAAAACCUUACCUACCCUUGACAUGUCAGGAAUCCUGGAGAGAUCUGGGAGUGCUCGCAAGAGAACCUGAACACAGGUGCUGCAUGGCUGUCGUCAGCUCGUGUCGUGAGAUGUUGGGUUAAGUCCCGCAACGAGCGCAACCCUUGUCAUUAAUUGCCAUCAUUCAGUUGGGCACUUUAAUGAGACUGCCGGUGACAAACCGGAGGAAGGUGGGGAUGACGUCAAGUCCUCAUGGCCCUUAUGGGUAGGGCUUCACACGUCAUACAAUGGUCGGUUCAGAGGGUUGCCAACCCGCGAGGGGG